GGCCGGGGGAGGAGAGGGUGGUUGGUCGCGCCACGUCAGCAGGGCCUCGUGGGGGAGGGGGCUGGACGCAUCAACGGCCAGGAUUUGUCGAUCGCGGAUGAUGGAAACGUUGAUGAGCGGCUGGGAUGUCAUGGUGAGGAAUUGAGGAUACACUCAUACACGCCAUUUGGCGAUGCUUAAUAUAAAGAUGGUGAUCUGCUACCGGGAUUUUAGCCAGAUGUGUCCGCGGCGUUGAUGCGGUACAAUGAUGUGGCGUGGAGUGCGGGAGGAUGCAGGGGUUCAACGACAAACCGAGUGUUACGUGGAAAGGUAAAAGGUUGUAACAGAACGGUAAAAUGACAAAUGCCUUUCUAAGCUGGAUGCACUAAUUUGGUAUGUUUCGUGUUCUAAUUACAUCGCGACAUAAAAUAGCCAGGUUUCGGAUACGUUAUCGUUGCUUUUAGGUACGAUAAAACAUUUAUGUAAAGAGAAGAAAUCAUUGCGUCACGGAAAAAUAAUGAUGUGUCCUGAUAAGAAAUUUUGGUCCGUGGUAUAUUUGAACGGAUGGUUCUAGAUGUUUCAGUUAAUUGAUAUAGCGUGAAAGUUUAAUAAAUUAUAUCUAAUACGACAAGAAACCAUUAACCUUACAUAGGGUGUGGGGUUUUUCGUUAUUUCAGCAGCUUAGUUACAUCAAACCCUUUCUCAAAUGUAUAAAAGAAAUGUCUCAAACUUAUAUAGUUAAUGGCAAUCACGUCUUAAGCUAGCUUUCUUUGGUAUGGAUAAAUUUUAGGGUGAAGUAUAUUUUCAACCCUUAAACCUUGCUCGAAGUUAAUUUAUUUUUCGCCUUGAAAAAAAAACAGGUAAAAAAACACCCUAUGAUGUUAUUUUAGAUGUUUUAUUGGAAAUAGAGGUGGUUUACUAAUUCAUAUGCUCGUAUCGUGCAAAAUUUGUCGAUGUAAAUGUUAUUUAGGUAGGCCCAUGACUAUGGCUGUGUUUUUUAGCCUAAGUUCACAAUUCACCUGCCUCGUUUUUCACGCUCAUGUUUCCCAAAUUGCUAAACAAUGUGUUUUUUUAAAAGAAAUACUAUAGGAAAGUUGUUUUAAAAAAUAUAUUAGUUCUUUUUUAAGUUUUUUAUAGCUAAUACUAUCUAAUCAUGCAUUAAUCCAUUGCAUAGUUUUGCGUGUGGAUAGGAGGGGUUCCCAACAAAAAAAAAGUACACACCUUAUAAAAUCUACCUAAAUGGGGUUUCUGUAAGCGAAAAGACUUUCAUAGAGAAAAUCACCUUGAAAUAUAUUAUAGGGUUUCACAUGUCCAGUUUUAAAAGUUGCAGGGGAAAAAUAAUCAAUUUUAUAGUUUAAAGUAAAAAAAACAGAUUUGACCAUAAUUUUUACGGGAAUGUAGAGGGAGUUAUAGCCUACAGUAUAUGAUGUGGGUUAUUUUUGAUUGAUGCCAAAAUGCGCCAUAUUGAUUUUUUUGGUAGUUGAAUAGUAAAAGUGAUAGUUCGGUUUGAAGCCCAAUGGUUAGUAGAACAUUUUUUUAAUAAUACAUAGCACAAUCCUAAAACUUUAUUCACCGUAAUAUAAAAUUCUAACAUGCUCAUUUAUAUUGCCAUCGUGAUCGUACCAAAACAUGCAUAUAUGACGAGCAUCACGAUGACAGUGGAUAUCGCGAUGUACGUACAUGUACACUGCUGCCAUCCAUCGCCGUGAGCUUACGCUCACGGGGCCGAUCGAAGUGACGCUAGCUAAGCUCCAGCUUGAGCAGCAGUGAGCGCGCGGCUUCAUGCACCCUGCACAAGGCACCAAAUUAGAUCUGACAUGCAUUACACCAUGCCGCCUGCCGACUGCCGUGUGUCACGCUGCAUGCGAGAUGGUACGUACUGGCUAGCUCGAUCUCUUCGUUUCGUCGUCACUCGCGAUAAAAUAUCGAUCGUCUCCGCUGAUUUCCGAACACCGUACGUACCCAAGCUUGGGUGAGCUCUCGCUAGCUUAGAGCAGAUACAGUAGCAAAUUAUAAAUCAACUAUAAUUAUAAAUCAACUAUAAACUUCUAAAGGUGCAAGUGGGUUUACCCACGAAUAUGCUUAUAGACAAAAAUAGUGCGUAACCGCCGGUUUGACUAGCGGGUUAACUAUGAAUUUGACUUAUAAAUGGGUUUAUAGUUCGAUCCACUUAUAUAUUUAGAUGCGGCAAGCCGGACCGCAAUGCGAAAACCCAUAAAUUAUUAUUUAUUUAAACUCGCGGAUCGGCCCGCUUGCACCCCUACUACUAUAAACACAUGUCGAAAAGAUAAAAGAAGAGAGAAGAACAACGAGCUACAAAUUUAUAGCUAAACUAUAACACAGACUCUAAAACGUAAUGUGUGUAUGAUAUGUGAGACCAGAUAUUAAUUAUAUAUUAUGUAUGUUUAUAAGUAAAUAUUAUAUGAAUUGACUAUGGAUAAUUUAAAUUAAAAGUAGUAGUUGUUGCCUAUGUUCUUACAGUGUUUUGCAUGUACUACCAGCUAUAUAUAGCUAUAGGUGAAGCGUCGAUGUUACCAUACCUGAUUUCUGCUUGGUUAACUUAAUUAUGGCCUAUGGGGCCCCGUUUCUUUCAUUCAUAUGUGAUUUAAUUUUUGGAGGGUUAGGUGAAGUGUUGCGUUUUGUGUCCAAUUCGUACCACAAGUCCACUACACACAUGCAUGCUUGUUGAAAAACAUGAAGGUCGAUUUACCACUAGCUAGUAGUACCAUCUAGUUAAAAAAUCUCGAAAAAGUAGGAGUACCAUUUUUAAUAACUCGACUAUAUAUGAAUUCUGUUUAAUUGAUAUAUAAUACUACUAAUCAAUAACACGCCGUCACAACCAUAAACAUUAAGACAAAGUUAAACUAACUCUCACAAACAUGCAUGGCUAGCCAUAUAUUACAUUAUCUCGUUCUUUAAUUCUACAUAAUUUGUGCCGUCAAUCCAUCUAUAUUUUGACAACAAAUAUCUUUUAGGUUAUCUAGCUAGCUAGAGAUGUGGUUUUUAGUUACUGCACCAUCACUCGUGUCGGCGGCGGCGGUGGUAGGUGGGUGAAGGAGGCAGGUGGUCAGGGCGUGUGGCGGGUGGGCGGAGGAGUAGGCGUCGACGGCGGGGAGGAGAAGGAGUAGGCCCGGCAGUGAGGAUCUGCAGCGGAGUAGGAGGCAGUGGGGGUGUUGGCGGCGGUCACAGGUGGACGUCGACAGUGUCGCUGGCAGGAAUCUGGAGCGAAGGAGGCAAGCGGGUGGAGGAGUCACCGACGGGGAUGGGUAGGCGGAGGAGGAGUCGGAGUGCGCAAUGGGUGGGUUACGCGACAGGUGGGAGGUCCAGGCUAUUGGAUAUGACGAUCUGAUGGUUAAUAUUAAAGCAAGAAUAAUAGUGGGCUGUAAAAAUGCUGAAUGUUGAGGUGGAUGAUAGAUGAUAGAGAUGAGAAGCGGGCUGUAAGCUUACAGCCGGCUUAGACACAGGAACUAAGAAAAUCAGUGAGACAGACAGGUGGACCAUAUAUUUAUAGUGAAGAGCUAACCACUAUAUGAGUGAGCUGAGAGAUAGGCUAUAAAGAUCUAUACAGUCAGUAGCUGGCUAUAUUAUUAGCCUUGCUCUUAGCAUGUUUGUCAGAUGUGUCUGCUAUAUCAUGAACUAAGAAAAUCAGUGAGACAGACAGGUGGACCAUAUAUUUAUAGUGAAGAGCUAACCACUAUAUGAGUGAGCUGAGAGAUAGGCUAUAAAGAUCUAUACAAUCAGCAGCUGACUGUAUUAUUAGCCUUGCUCUUAGCAUGUUUGUCAGAUGUGUCUGCUAUAUAAAAAUCGAGACCACUAUUACAAAUUUAAGUAGUAGAGAUACAAUUAUAAAAACAAACCUGCCCCACCUUAGAAAAAAAAAACUUUCUGUGAAAAAGAACGAAACUACAUGAGAUUGAGGAGAAGAUCAUGUUUUGCCUUCUGCCCAGAUCGUCACUACUUUAACCCUAAACAAAUCUUUGGCGCAUCUAAAAGGCAAAAACAAAAGACACAACUAUGUGCUCAACACACUUGUUUUCCUACCCUACUAAUUUAAUGAUUCCUCCUGUUGCAUUUAUCCAUCCACGCAAGCAAGCUGCAGGUACUAACCAUAUGUAACUCCGAAAGCACCUGUGUUAUACUAAGAUAAUUAAGGUUUAAAACUAACACAACUUGCUAGACACUACACGUACUACAUGACAGUGAAUCAUUCUUUCAUAGACAAGGUUAAUAUUAUCGCUAUGCGCUCUUGACAGUGAACAUCAUCCAACCCGAAGCUAAGGUUAAUUGUCACCAUGUGCUUCUUCAGUUCUCCUUUUCUGUGACGACCAUGCAUUAUACUUUUUCUAUCCAUAAAUCCAUAAUAAACUUGUCUCACUAGUUCAACCGGCUUAUGUCAGAUGAACCUGUCAUCCAAUUUAGUUGAUUUCUACCGUUACUGUGUUCUAAUGGGAAAAUUGGAUUGGCUACUUAAUUUCUUGAUUUUCGUUAGCAUAUUUUAAAAUUGUUAAACUUUGCAUUUUUUUAGAAAAAUAAAGUAAAUUUAUUUAUUUAUUCAAUUAUUAAUGCUUCAUUUUGCGAUUAUUUUUCAUUUUGCAUGUGACUAAUAAGCCGUUCUCAUCCUCCGAUUAGAACGUGAAUAAAGUAUGUUAGUACUUUCUUUAACAUGGUCCAUCAAUAAACAGGAGGUAAAUGCGAUGAUUUUUUAAAGCCAGAGGUAAAUGAUUUUUCAGAGUUUAGAGAGAGAGCAACACUUUGCACUGGCAGAAGAGUGGCCGUAGAGAUUGCGUGCUGGCUGGGCCCCGCAAUGGGCCCAUGGGCCCACAAGCCGGGCAAAAACUUCGCACGAGGGACUCAUGCAGAGCCGUUCAUUCACUUUCACUGGGGCCCACCAGCUCGUCCGGUGCGUGAAAGCCUAGUGGGCGGCGUUCCGUGGACCGAGUACGGUACAUGGGCCCAGUGUUGUGGUUGUACGGUCGGAUCGGAGACCAUCCCUAGCCCAUACUGAAUUCUGUAUCUCCAAAAGUUUCUCAAAUUCUCAUCCAAAUCAAGCCAAGUAGCCAACUGUUUCUUAUAUGUUGUCAAAUUUCACCGCAAGUCACCUUACCGCAUAAAAUUUCUCAAUGUGUUUGUACCUCAUUUUGUUACCGCAAUAUAUUUUUUCACUUCCCA